CUGCAUCGCAGCACGUCCGCGGCCAGGCGGCAUCUGCAAAGGCCUGCGCCGAACGGGCGUGGACUGCAAAAUACGCCUUUGGGCAGCACACACGGUCGAACGACGUCGGGCGUGGCAUGUCAUCAUCGCCUUUGGGCAGCACACACGUUCGAGCGACGUCGGGCGUGGCAUGCCAUCAUCGCCUUUGGGCAGUACAAACGGUCGAACGACGUCGGGCGUGGCAUGCCACCAUCGCCUUUGGGCAGCACACACGGUCGAGCGACGUCGGGCGUGGCAUGCCAUCAUCGCCUUUGGGCACACACGGUCGAACGGCGUCUGGCGUGGCAUGCCAUCUUCGCCUUUUUGCAGCACACACGGUCGAACGACGUCGGGCGUGGCAUGCCAUCUUCGCCCUUUGACAGCAUAGACGGUCGGCCGUCGUCGGGCGUGGCAUGCCAUCUUCGCCCUUUGACAGCAUAGACGGUCGGCCGUCGUCGGGCGUGGCAUGCCAUCAUAGCCCUUGGACAGCACAAACGGUCGGCCGUCGUCGGACGUGCCUGCACACAACGGUCGGCCGUGGCCUGCCCGCAUCGGUCGUGGCUUGCGCAACAUUCAUCGAGUUCCAAACAAAACAUGCGGAUGUUCAUGGCGUACAUAAAUCAAAGGAUUUUGAAACAACCUCCAUGCAUAACAAAA
rnacentral:misc_RNA from 1 species